rnacentral:rRNA from 1 species
CCUACGGGUGGCAGCAGUGAGGAAUAUUGGUCAAUGGACGAGAGUCUGAACCAGCCAAGUAGCGUGAAGGAUGACUGCCCUAUGGGUUGUAAACUUCUUUUAUAUGGGAAUAAAAUGUUCCACGUGUGGGAUUUUGUAUGUACCAUAUGAAUAAGGAUCGGCUAACUCCGUGCCAGCAGCCGCGGGAAUACGGAGGAUCCGAGCGUUAUCCGGAUUUAUUGGGUUUAAAGGGAGCGUAGGUGGAUUGUUAAGUCAGUUGUGAAAGUUUGCGGCUCAACCGUAAAAUUGCAGUUGAAACUGGCAGUCUUGAGUACAGUAGAGGUGGGCGGAAUUCGUGGUGUAGCGGUGAAAUGCUUAGAUAUCACGAAGAACUCCGAUUGCGAAGGCAGUUCACUGGACUGCAACCGACACUGAGGCUCGAAAGUGUGGGUAUCAAACAGGAUUAGAUACCCUAGUAGUC